GUAGGCGACUGAGUCACCUGCUUAAGAUAGUAGACUGCAUCAUUUGCAUAAAAGGGUAGGCGACUGAGUCACCUGCUUAAGAUAGUAGAUGACUGCAUCAUUUGCAUAAAAGGGUAGGCGACUGGGUCACCUGCUUAAGAUAGUAGACUGCAUCAUUUGCAUAAAAGGGGUAGGCGACUGAGUCACCUGCUUAAGAUAGUAGACUGCAUCAUUUGCAUAAAAGGGUAGGCGACUGAGUCACCUGCUUAAGAUAGUAGAUGACUGCAUCAUUUGCAUAAAAGGGUAGGCGACUGGGUCACCUGCUUAAGAUAGUAGACUGCAUCAUUUGCAUAAAAGGGUAGGCGACUGAGUCACCUGCUUAAGAUAGUAGACUGCAUCAUUUGCAUAAAAGGGUAGGCGACUGAGUCACCUGCUUAAGAUAGUAGUCAAAAUCAUUUGCAUAAAAGGGUAGGCGACUGAGUCACCUGCUUAAGAUAGUAGACUGCAUCAUUUGCAUAAAAGGGUAGGCGACUGAGUCACCUGCUUAAGAUAGUAGAUGACUGCAUCAUUUGCAUAAAAGGGUAGGCGACUGAGUCACCUGCUUAAGAUAGUAGAUGACUGCAUCAUUUGCAUAAAAGGGUAGGCGACUGAGUCACCUGCUUAAGAUAGUAGACUGCAUCAUUUGCAUAAAAGGGUAGGCGACUGAGUCACCUGCUUAAGAUAGUAGACUGCAUCAUUUGCAUAAAAGGGUAGGCGACUGAGUCACCUGCUUAAGAUAGUAGACUGCAUCAUUUGCAUAAAAGG